UACGUAGGUGGCGAGCGUUAUCCGGAAUUACUGGGUGUAAAGGGCGUGUAGGCGGGAAUGUAAGUCAGAUGUGAAAUUCCGGGGCUUAACUCCGGAUCUGCAUCUGAAACUAUGUUUCUUGAGUGCUGGAGAGGAAAGCGGAAUUCCUAGUGUAGCGGUGAAAUGCGUAGAUAUUAGGAGGAACACCAGUGGCGAAGGCGGCUUUCUGGACAGUAACUGACGCUGAGGCGCGAAAGCGUGGGGAGCAAACAGG
rnacentral:rRNA from 1 species